UGGCUUAACGACUCUCGGCAACGGAUAUCUCGGCUCUCGCAUCGAUGAAGAACGUAGCGAAAUGCGAUACUUGGUGUGAAUUGCAGAAUCCCGUGAACCAUCGAGUCUUUGAACGCAAGUUGCGCCCGAAGCGAUUAGGCCGAGGGCACGCCUGCCUGGGCGUCACACG
rnacentral:rRNA from 1 species